GAAAGCUGACUGCCCGCACCGCCCCAGGCGCACUGGGUAGGACUGAAAGGCAGGGACUAAGGUGACAGCUGACUCUGCCGGGGCGGAGUGCGUGUCCUCCCACCGUGCUGGCGCUGAACUGACUGUCCGCUGCCAAGGGAAGUGACAGCCGCAGCCGGGCUCUCAGCCAGCGGCCAGGCGCCCCGCGGACCAUGCUCUCCAGUACGCAGAACGCGGGCGGCUCCUAUCAGCGGGUCCGCGGGGCGCUUGAUACACAGAGUAAUUACUUUAGGCUAUAAGAGACCUUUGGAAAGAGAGGAUCUUUUUGAACUAAAGGAAAGUGAUUCCUUCUGCACUGCGUGUCCCAUCUUUGAAAAACAAUGGAGAAAGGAAGUUUUAAGGAAUCAAGAGAGGCAAAAAGUAAAGUUAUGUAGGUAUCUUGUUAUAAAGAGGCACAUAUCAAGAAACCAUCUCUACUCUAUGCAUUGUGGAACACCUUUAAAUCCAUCCUGAUUCAAGUUGCCUUAUUCAAAGUGUUUGCUGAUAUUUUGUCCUUCACUAGCCCACUCAUAAUGAAGCCUUACUUUUAUCAAAUGUUUCUCGACAAAAGUUUUCCACUGGGGAAAUUAUUAACUUGAUGUCAGCAACUCAUGGACUUGACAGCAAACCUCAAUCUCCUCUGGUCUGCCCCUUUUCAAAUCCUAAUGGCCGUAUAUCUCCUUUGGCAAGAGCUGGGUCCAGCAGUGUUAGCAGGGGUGGCAGUCCUUGUGUUUGUUAUACCAAUAAAUGCUUUAGCUGCAACUAAAAUAAAAAA
ensembl:lncRNA ABCC13 ATP binding cassette subfamily C member 13 (pseudogene)